rnacentral:tRNA from 2 species
GGGGAUAUAACUCAAUUGGUAGAGUGUAUGCUUUGCAAGCAUGAAGUUAUCGGUUCGAGUCCGAUUAUCUCCA